rnacentral:lncRNA from 1 species
UACCUGCAUUACAGCAGCAUUAAUUUUACUAAAUGAAAACAUUUUAAAGCUGUUUAAUAACAAGUAAUCAGUAGCUUGUGUCCUAGAUUAUGAAGACUUUGUUUCCUGUAGAAUAACAUGCAUGUGAUGAAUCUUUCAAAUUAAGACCAGGAGUGUGUAUGGAGAACGUAAACUGGCUGAUGUUGGUUUUAAAUAUUAUUUUUUCUUCAGACUCCUCCUAGCUAGUGGUGUAUGGCCCCGGGUCUCCGUGGAGCAGAUGUUUACUGUUUGCUCGAGACCGCCGCCCUGGUGGAGGACACCCAGCUCAACAACCUCCUUGUGGAGCCACGUUUUAUUGAGAAGAUCAAUGAGGUCUGUUUAAGGUUCUGACGCCCCUCAUCUGUUCCCCGGCCUGCGGAAGAAAACAGAGGAAACGUCCCACCAACAGAUGAUCAAGCUCUUGCUUUAUACAUUUGUGUUCACUGUCAUCUGGACAUAUUUAUAGUUAAAUAAAAAUUAGAUAUUAAUAUUUCAAAUAUAAAAUAAAUAAAUAUUUUAUGUAUAGUAUACUAUAUAGAUUAAAUAAUAAUAAUCAUUAUUUAUUAUUAUUAUUAUUAUUUGCC